rnacentral:rRNA from 1 species
GACAGAGGUGCCGAGCGUUAGGCGGAAUCACUGGGCUUAAAGCGUGUGUAGGCGGGCCGUCAAGUGCCUCGUGAAAUCCCGCCGCUCAACGGCGGAACCGCCGGGCAGACUGACGGCCUUGAGGGACCCAGGGGCGAGCGGAACAGGCGGUGGAGCGGUGAAAUGCGUAGAUAUCAAGAGGAACACCUGAGGUGAAGACGGGUUGCUGGGCUGACACUGACGCUGAGGCGCGAAAGCCAGGGGAGCAAACGGG